rnacentral:tRNA from 7 species
GCCGAAGUGGUGAAAUUGGUAGACACACCGUCUUGAGGGGGCGGCGGCGCAAGCCAUACCGGUUCGAGUCCGGUCUUCGGCACCA